rfam:Drosophila pseudoobscura pseudoobscura strain MV2-25 chromosome 2, whole genome shotgun sequence.
GCCUCUUUAGCUCAGUGGCAGAGCACUGGUCUUGUAAACCAGGGGCCGUGAGUUCAAUUCUCACAAGAGGCA